ACAAUGAAACCUUUAAAAAGGUGUGUAUCCUCUAGGUCUCUCAUAGUGUCCCAUGCCAGAGCAAACUGUGGCUGCAAACCAUUGCCUAGACUCUACCUUUGGGUCCUGGCACUGAAGAGGGUUUAACAGGU
rnacentral:snoRNA from 1 species